UACGAAGGGGGCUAGCGUUGCUCGGAAUCACUGGGCGUAAAGCGCACGUAGGCGGAUUGUUAAGUCAGGGGUGAAAUCCUGGAGCUCAACUCCAGAACUGCCUUUGAUACUGGCGAUCUCGAGUCCGGGAGAGGUGAGUGGAACUGCGAGUGUAGAGGUGAAAUUCGUAGAUAUUCGCAAGAACACCAGUGGCGAAGGCGGCUUGCCAGAACGCACUCGACGGUGAGGGAUGAAAGCUGGGGGAGCAAACCGG
rnacentral:rRNA from 1 species